GGAUGAGCCCGCGGCCUAUCAGCUUGUUGGUGGGGUAGUGGCCUACCAAGGCGACGACGGGUAGCCGGCCCGAGAGGGUGACCGGCCACACUGGGACUGAGACACGGCCCAGACUCCUACGGGAGGCAGCAGUGGGGGAUAUUGCGCAAUGGGCGAAAGCCUGACGCAGCGACGCCGCGUGGGGGAUGACGGCCUUCGGGUUGUAAACCUCUUUCAGCAGGGACGAAGCGAAAGUGACGGUACCUGCAGAAGAAGCACCGGCCAACUACGUGACAGCAGCCGCGGCCG
rnacentral:rRNA from 1 species